CUCCUCCGCCAUGGUCGGAUCGGGGUAAGGGAGGUCCCCGGAGACUAAAACUCACUCCGGCAUCACUUCGGAGGAGGUUUAGCCCCACCCUCUCCCACUGCUCCCACCCUGGAGAAGGGCACCCCUCGACAGCAGUCGCCGGAGCGGCUGCAAGCCGAGGAAGCGUCGGCCUCCUCAGGGGAGCUCCCAGGGGCUUGGCCCCACCUCGGGGACCCCGUUCGACUCCUCCGACACCACUUCGGAGGAGGUCCAGGGCCUUCCCUUCUGCCGCUUCGAGGUGGGAGCAUCUUCCGGAGGAGGCUCACCCCACGGUGGCACGACGAGAGGGAGAAGAGGAGGGGGGGAAGCAAAAAGAGAGGAAGGACGGGAGAAGGGCUCAGCCGGAGGUGAAAGAAGAAGAAAGAAAGGGGCUAGGGCUUCCGGUGGAGACAGAGGGGGAGAGAGAGAGAGGAGUAUGGAGACGAAUAGGCGAGAAAUCACUUAUACUACAAAAAAAUAGAAUAUCUACGGACAAUCCACUCUUGCCUCUUCCUAAGAAGGCCAAGAAGAUCCUUGUAGCUGGGAGCCAGGCCGACAACUUAGGCUGUCAGUGUGGAGGACGGACUAUCACUUGGCAAGGACACAGUGGGAACAAUCUAACAAUUGGUAAACAUUCUCAACACCUUAGAUUGACUUUGUUUCUUAUUUCUUUCAGACAUUGCAGAGCAUGGUAAUGUUUUGAACUUCGAGCGAUCCUUUGCAACAGGAACCACAAUCCUUGAUGCCAUCAAGGCCAUUGUUGACACCACCACCAAGGUUGUCUACUCUGAAAAAUUAUCGAAGUGGAAUCUAGAUUAAGCUACAAGACCUAACAAGUGUUCAUGUAUGAGAAGGAAAACACAAGCAACAGUGCACUUUUCUAUUUUUCCCUUUUUAUUGAGGUUAACAAGAAAUGUUACUAACAUCUCUUGUCUUCGUUAGAAUCAUAAAGUAUAAAUUCGACUGUCUAACAAAUAUCUGUCCUUUACAUAAUCAAACAAAUCGAUCUUAUUUUUCUUUCCCCCUUUAAUGGUAAAACACCAAAAAUACUGUGUUCAACAAGAAUGUCAAAUAUAGGAGAUAGUAGAUAUGAUACUACCAUAAAGUUUUCCUCCGAAUAAAAAAAGAAAGAUAGUACCAUAAACUAGAAAGCAUGAAAAAAAUAAUUAGCUGUCACUUCAAAUACUUACUAGAAGCCCUAAUUGUGAGAGAAACUUGAAUACGAAGAGCAUUUUAAGCCCUUUCAAUUUAAUUAUUUCAACACAAAUUUCUUAUCUUAUUUCAGACUAUAAACAUGCAGCGAAGGGGAAAAAUAUAUAAGACUGCCUGUCGCUUUCGCAUUCAAAUGAAAAAUAAAAAUGUAAGGUCUCGCGCCUCCUUCUCGGUCACGGUGGUUCUCCUCCUCCGCCGUGGUCGGAUCGGGGUAAGGGAGGUCCCCGGAGACUAAAACUCACUCCGGCAUCACUUCGGAGGAGGUUUAGCCCCUCCCUCUCCCACAGCUCCCACCCUGGAGAAGGGCACCCCUCGGCCGCAGUCGCCGAAGCGGCUGCAGGCCGAGCAAGCGUCGGCCUCCUCAAGGGAGCACCCAGGGGCUCGGCCCCACCUCGGAGACCCCGUUCGACUCCUCCGGCACCACGUCGGUGGAGGUCCAGGGCCUUCCCUUCUGCCGCUCCGAGGUGGGAGCAUCUCCCGGAGGAGGCUCACCCCACGGUGGCACGGCGAGAGGGAGAAGA
rnacentral:lncRNA from 1 species